rnacentral:rRNA from 1 species
AUUGAACGCUGGCGGCAGGCCUAACACAUGCAAGUCGAACGGUAACAGGAAGCAGCUUGCUGCUUCGCUGACGAGUGGCGGACGGGUGAGUAAUGUCUGGGAAGCUGCCUGAUGGAGGGGGAUAACUACUGGAAACGGUAGCUAAUACCGCAUAAUGUCGCAAGACCAAAGAGGGGGACCUUCGGGCCUCUUGCCAUCGGAUGUGCCCAGGUGGGAUUAGCUUGUUGGUGGGGUAACGGCCCACCAAGGCGACGAUCCCUAGCUGGUCUGAGAGGAUGACCAGCCACACUGGAACUGGGACACGGUCCAGACUCCUACGGGAGGCAGCAGUGGGGAAUAUGGGACAAUGGGCGCAAGCCUGAUGCAGCCAUGCCGCGUGUAUGAAGAAGGCCUUCGGGGUGUAAAGUACGUUCAGCGGGGAGGAAGGGAGUAAAGUUAAUACCUUUGCUCAUUGACGUUACCCGCAGAAGAAGCACCGGCUAACUACGUG